ensembl:lncRNA
CUACUGGUGCUCGUUGAAAGCCCUGGCAUCCCCUACCACAAGCCUGUACAAUAAUUUCAAAAGUGGUAUAAUAUUUCCUUGCAGGUUUACUUAAAGAUUGAUACAAAUAAGAGAGUGAAGCACUUUUUCACUUGAACAGUGAGAGGCAAGAGUGUCAUUACCUGGAGACCCAGGGUCCCUGGCCAGAUCAUUGGGCCUGGAGAGUUACCUACCAGACGUUUCUUGGAUUCUGCAGAAUAAAUGGACAUCCAGUGCAAGCAACUUGAUAACGUAAUAAUCAAACAAGAGAUUGACAGAAGAUGUAGAAGGCUUAACAUACCCCUCUGAUUCUUCUACCAUGGAGUGAUAGAUGCUUCAAGAAGAAAAGAAUUCCCCUAGUGGUUUCAUUGUUUUCCAGGCAUCUUUCUAGAUUAACUUUUCCAAUGGUAAAAUCAUUACAAAGUAGAAAUGCAAUCUCUCUAAGGGCUAACUUGAAAACC